GAUGAACGCUGGCGGCGUGCCUAAUACAUGCAAGUAGAACGCUGAAGGAAGGAGCUUGCUCUUUCCGGAUGAGUUGCGAACGGGUGAGUAACGCGUAGGUAACCUGCCUGGUAGCGGGGGAUAACUAUUGGAAACGAUAGCUAAUACCGCAUAACAGUAGAUGUUGCAUGAUAUCUACUUAAAAGGUGCAAUUGCACCACUACCAGAUGGACCUGCGUUGUAUUAGCUAGUUGGUGAGGUAACGGCGCACCAAGGCGACGAUACAUAGCCGACCUGAGAGGGUGAUCGGCCACACUGGGAGUGAGACACGGCCCAGACUGCUACGGGAGGCAGCAGUAGGGAAGCUUCGGCAAUGGACGGAAGUCUGACCGAGCAACGCCGGGUGAGUGAAGAAGGUUUUCGGAUCGGAAAGGUCUGUUGUAAGAGAAGGACGAGGGUGAGAGUGGAAAGUUCACAGUGUGACGGUAGCUGAACAGAAAGGGACGGCUAACUACGUG
rnacentral:rRNA from 1 species